AUCCAGCCAUGCCGCGUGCAGGAUGACGGUCCUAUGGAUUGUAAACUGCUUUUAUACGAGAAGAAACACUCCUUCGUGAAGGAGCUUGACGGUAUCGUAAGAAUAAGGAUCGGCUAACUCCGUGCCAGCAGCCGCGGUAAUACGGAGGAUCCAAGCGUUAUCCGGAAUCAUUGGGUUUAAAGGGUCCGUAGGCGGUUUGGUAAGUCAGUGGUGAAAGCCCAUCGCUCAACGGUGGAACGGCCAUUGAUACUGCCAGACUUGAAUUAUUAGGAAGUAACUAGAAUAUGUAGUGUAGCGGUGAAAUGCUUAGAGAUUACAUGGAAUACCAAUUGCGAAGGCAGGUUACUACUAAUGGAUUGACGCUGAUGGACGAAAGCGUGGGUAGCGAACAGGAUUAGAUACCCUGGUAGUCCACGCCGUAAACGAUGGAUACUAGCUGUUGGAAGCAAUUUCAGUGGCUAAGCGAAAGUGAUAAGUAUCCCACC
rnacentral:rRNA from 1 species